rnacentral:tRNA from 1 species
AGUGAGCUGGCUGAGCUGGUUUAAGGCAACGGUCUUGAAAACCGUCGUACGUUAAUAGCGUACCUAGGGUUCGAAUCCCUAGCUCACUACCA